rnacentral:rRNA from 1 species
ACAAGCGGAGGAGCAUGUGGUUAAUUCGAUGAUACGCGAGGAACCUUACCUGGGCUCGAACGUAAGAUGACUGUAGGUGAAAGCUUACAUCUCUUCGGAGCAUUUUACGAGGUGCUGCAUGGUUGUCGUCAGCUCGUGCCGUGAGGUGUCGGGUUAAGUCCCAUAACGAGCGCAACCCCUACCUUUAGUUGCCAUCAGGUUAAGCUGGGGACUCUAAAGGAACUGCCUACGCAAGUAGUGAGGAAGGCGGGGAUGACGUCAAAUCAGCACGGCCCUUACGUCCAGGGCUACACACGUGCUACAAUGGCCGAUACAGAGGGCAGCUACCUGGUGACAGGAUGCAAAUCUCCAAAGUCGGUCUCAGUUCGGAUCGGAGUCUGCAACCCGACUCCGUGAAGUUGGAAUCGCUAGUAAUCGCGCAUCAGCCAUGGCGCGGUGAAUACGUUCCCGGGCCUU